rnacentral:lncRNA from 1 species
UGAGAUGUUUUUCAAAUCUGUGUAAGCUCUGCUCACAAUCACACGAGUGAGUGCAUCCUCAUCAGUUCCAAUCUUCUUGACAGCAUCUCUCACCACCUAUAAUAACAUUAAAAAAAUGUCAAGAUUCAUUCUAGUUAAUUUAACAAUUUAGAUUUAAACUUUAAUACUUCUACACAAAACUCAUAAUAAAAAUGUAUUAUCUAAUUCUUGUAGAUUUAAAUUCAGAUAUAAUUGCUUUCGCGACCCCUUAAUUUAAUUUCAUGUGAUAUUUUAGUUAUUUAUUUUUUUUUUUCGAUUUAGUCUUUUAUUUAAUUUUAAGUAACUAUCUGAUCUUUUAUAUCUUAAAAUAUUACCAAUAUUAUCAUUUCUUAACAUAAAUUUAAAAUUAAUCAAAAUCUUCAAACAAAAUCUAUAAAAUUCAACACCAAUUUCAAAAAAGUCAUAUAUUCAUCAAAUGUAUAACUCAAAUAUUCAAAUAAAUUCAUAUUUCUGUAUCUAACAACAUCAAAUUCAUAAAAUAAAGAAUGAAAAUGAGUUUAUUUAAAUAUUUGAGUUAUAAAUUUGAUGAAAUGUGCAUUAUAUUGAAUGUGAUAAUUAAUUUUAUAGAUUUUGUUUGAAAAUUUUGAUGAAAUUUUUAUAAAAAAAAUGAUAAUAUUAUUGAUAUUUUAAAACAAUAAAAGAUCAAAUUGUUAUUUAAAAUUAAAUAAAACCUAAAUAAAAAAAAAUUAAUUAACUAAAAUGCUACCUAAAGUUAAGUUAAAAGAGUCUGCAGUACCAAUUAUACCUAUUAUACCAGUAAAUUAAUAAUAAUAGAGAAUACAAUGAGAGUCCUACCUUUUCAUAAUACUUGACAUGAUCAUUGAAGCAACGAAUGGUGGUAUACAAUGAUUUCUGAAAAUCAUCUGAUCCUUCAUCCAAUAGUUUCUGUUAAGAUGUAAGGGACACAAAUUUAAAUGAUAGAUUAUAGUAUCAAUUUCUUUUAUUGUUUUGCAAAGAAAAGGAAGAAAAAAAAAUAGUGUGUUAGCUCUUUUUUGUAUACCUUAGUGAUGGAACCACCAUGAGUCUCUCUAUAGCGAUUGAAAGUUGCAAUCAAUUGAGUCUUGCUCCUUGUAGUCAAGAUCCUGAUUGCUUCUUCAUGGCUACCUUUUUUCUCUUUCACAGACUCGUGAAGAAUUUCAGCUUCACUCUGAGCCAAUUUUGCAUUUAUCUCAUCACCAGUAUAUCUGUAUGAGGUCACUAGCCCCACCAAAAGCUGCUCAAUAUCAAAAACAAACUUAUCAAAAUCAGGGUUCUUAAAAAGGUCUUUAACAAAGAUAUGGGCCAAACAACAUCAAAGUUUUUGAAAUCUUCACUAAUGCAAUGUUCCUUCCAUUAAGGUAUACAAAAAUAAAAAUUUGCAUCAAAUCUUACAUCUUUUAAUCAGAAAUGAUCAGUAAAUUUCGAUAAAAAUUUGAGUUAAUUUGAAAAAGGACUUGCCUGGCGAAGAUGGCCUGAAGUAUGAAUAGCCAAAUCUUCUUCAAUGGAGUGCUUGUAGCGGUUGAUAUAGGCACGCCUCACAUUAAAGAGCUCUUCAGGGGAAAGAACAGAGGAAAUUUCCACAAUCACAUUGUAGUUUUUUCCACUCUUUAUAGCAACAUGGACCAAAACAGCGUCACGAUCAGCAGGCUCCAAUAUCCAACGGUACACAGCUUUCUGUUCAUUAAAAUAAAAUUUCAAAAUUUUACAUAUAUUAAUUUAAGAAAAUGAAUUAAUUGAAUGUUAUUUAUAAAAUUGACAAAAUUGACUUUGAUACUAAAUUACUAAUAUGCACCUCAAAAUCUCCUUUGAUCUCAGACUCCAAGCGUUUGACAAGAUCCUCAUGAUAAAUGUCCUCAUAAGAUUUUCUAAUUAAUUGUAUCUGAUGUGAGGUUCUGUGACCCAGUAUUGAUAUCACAGUGUUUUCAUCAGUUCCCCAUCCUACAAUAUUGAACAUAUAUAAUACAAUCAACUAAAUUUUGAGCACCCCAUUAUUUAAUUAAAGAUUACAUAAGAGUAUCAGAUUCAUAGAAAAAAAAAAGUAACAAAGUAUGCAAAUUAAAUAGCCAAAUCAGUAUGCAAAUUUGUCAACAACAAAAAUGAUGAUAGGGGAAGAUCACAC